rnacentral:rRNA from 1 species
CCUACGGGUGGCUGCAGUGGGGCAUAUUGGACAAUGGGGGCAACCCUGAUCCAGCCAUGCCGCGUGUGUGAAGAAGGCCCUCGGGUUGUAAAGCACUUUCAGUGAGGAAGAACGCCUGGUGGUUAAUACCCAUCAGGAAAGACAUCACUCACAGAAGAAGCACCGGCUAACUCCGUGCCAGCAGCCGCGGUAAUACGGAGGGUGCGAGCGUUAAUCGGAAUUACUGGGCGUAAAGCGCGCGUAGGUGGCUUGAUAAGCCGGUUGUGAAAGCCCCGGGCUCAACCUGGGAACGGCAUCCGGAACUGUCAAGCUAGAGUGCAGGAGAGGAAGGUAGAAUUCCCGGUGUAGCGGUGAAAUGCGUAGAGAUCGGGAGGAAUACCAGUGGCGAAGGCGGCCUUCUGGACUGACACUGACACUGAGGUGCGAAAGCGUGGGUAGCAAACAGGAUUAGAUACCCCUGUAGUC